CACGUAGGCGGGAGUGCAAGUCGGGUGUGAAAUCCCUCGGCCCAACCGAGGAACUGCGCCCGAAACUGCAUUUCUUGAGGACAGCAGGGGAGCAUGGAAUUCCUGGUGGAGCGGUGAAAUGCGUUGAUAUCAGGAGGAACACCGGCGGCGAAGGCGAUGCUCUGGGCUGUUUCUGACGCUGAGGUGCGAAAGCCAGGGGAGCAAACG
rnacentral:rRNA from 1 species